AAACUUUGUCCGCGUAGUUGUUUGCAGACCAUUGUUCAGGAUAUGACAAUGAUUCUUCGCAUUCUUUUGGUUUUGGCUUUGGUGUCUUUUGCCGAAGGCUGCAGCAUUUUCUUUCAAAGGAACACUUGCACGUGUCGAUGCGGCGAUUUCUUCGACAUCUGCGAUAAUGGCUGCAAAAGAAUAAGCGGUAUUUGGGGUACAACUUGUUCGUACAACUGUGCUAAACUGCUGAGGAGCUGUUUGAACAAUUGUCCAAAGUAAAAUGUUUUGAAAUUAUUUCACUACAAGCGGGAUAUCAGCUGAUAAAUAGUUUGAAGAUGCAGGAUAACCAGUAGCAACUUAUGAAUUCUGAAAUAUUAUGCAUAUAUAUUGACUUUAAAAUACCUUUCGAUUGAAGACUUUCCUUGAAACAAAUUUACUAUUACUGUACCUUUUCUGUAAAUGGAAUAAAAAUUGUUGCAAUCAA